rfam:Hordeum vulgare subsp. vulgare, WGS project CAJW01000000 data, contig: morex_contig_54209
AAUAUACUCCCUCUGUCCCAAAAUUCUUGUCUUAGAUUUGUCUACAUAUGAAUGUAUCUAGUCUAUACAUUCAUAUGUAGACAAAUGUAAGACAAUAAUUUUAGGACGGAGGGAGUUCUAU